AGUCCGAGGCCGCCUUCGCUGCGGAUGCCGCCGUCGCUGUCGCCGUCGCCGGCGCCGACUGUACUGCUUCUGCCGUGCCUUCUCUCCUCAGCAUUGCAACGACAUUGUUCCAUUAGGAUGUCGCGUAGUAAUGUGGCUAUUGUUGUUCAUUGGAAUGGAGAAAUAUUUGCGCAUGAUAGCAAUCCAAAGUACGUUGGCGGUCGUAAGAAAUUAAGUGGUAUUCCAGUGGAUAUUACAUUUACAGAAUUCGAGAGAAAAAUAUAUAGAUUGACCGAUACUUCGAGAGAUGAGUAUCGCCUAAUUAUUAAAGUCCGAUAUUCGACCGGGAUGAAUCAAUUCGAUGUGGUUGAAGUUACGGACGAUGACUCACUGUGUGGUGCGAUGGCAUUGUCGGGAAACCCUCCGUGUUUGAUAAUUUUCGUUGAAAAAGAGAUAGUUCUUUCUCAGGGGUAUUAUUCUAGAAUGUUAAACAGUGACUUUAAUGUGGAUGUAUUAUCCCCUGGCCCCGAAAGAGAAUCUUUUCGUGCUGAUAUUGGAGGAGGAGCUGAUGCACCUAGGGAGUACAAUUUUUCAAAUGUAGUUGUUGGUGAUCCUCCUCCCCUCCCACGUACUAUUCAUCAUGCCACGGGUUUUAGUUCUCAUGCCCCACUGGGUAGAGAGCAAGGCGUCUCAUGUGAAGAAGGAUUUCAUACCUCUCAUGAUGUGCAUGACUUUGGAUCGUAUCCAUUGGGAACCGAAAAUGACGGUAUAGGAAAUCGGGCGGAAGUGCAACAAGAAGUAGCUGAAGACCGUUACACUACUGAUCAUGAGGGUGUUGGACAUGAAUCUUCAAAUUUGGCCGUAAAUGAGAACAUUGUGGCAGAAGUUCAUCAUUAUGAUGCAGAUCAUGAUGGUGGACUGGGUGUUCUCGCAGAUAUCAUAUAUACUGAGGGUGAUGAUCCAAUUGUCAAUAAUGAAUAUGUUGAUGAUCCAGAUGAAGGUGCAGAGUACAUAGAUCAUCCAGACCAAUUUGUAGAAGAUGAUGAUUGGAUUGACCAGUAUGUGGCUGAUAACGAUGUGCAUGAUCGUCCGCAGAUUGAACAGCCCCCUCCUACUAUUGAUGACUUAUGGGUUGGUCGGGUAUUUCCUGAUAAAGCAAGUUUAUUGCACACUCUGGGGGAAUGGCAUAUUGCUCACAACGUGCAAAUGAAAGUAAUAAAGUCGACGACAAAGGCGUAUACAGUUAAAUGCAUGGUAGAUUCAUGUCCUUGGAGAUUACAUGCAUCGGUACCAAAGGAUGUGAGUUAUUUUAGAGUUAAAAAAUACUCCGGGCAACAUACAUGUUUAGUGCCGGUGCUUAACACUGUACAUCGAAACUGUACUUCAUCUCUUAUAUGUCGACAUAUUCUCCCAUCAUUGAGGGUAAAGCUUACUUUGACACCGGCGGAAAUUAAAGAAAAGGUGCGUAAUGAAUUGCAUGUAGACAUACCUUAUUCGAAAGCGUGGCAGGCUAGAAGUAAAGCACUACAGAUCAUUUAUGGUGGUUGGGAGGAGUCAUACACCGAUCUUGGUCGCUUCCUAUCUAUACUACAGCGCGUGAAUCCCGGGACUCAAUGGCGUCUUGAUCCUAAAAUCCUGCCAAAUGGUGUUAGGCAGUUUGGGCGAGUAUUUUGGGCCUUCGGGCCGUCAAUUAAUGGGUUUUCUUAUUGUCGACCAUUGUUGAGCAUUGAUGGAACCCAUAUGUAUGGAAAGUAUCAAGGGCAUGCGUUGAUUGCGACGGGUGUAGAUGCUAAUAAUGGGUUAUACCCAUUGGCGUUUGCUAUUUGUGAGGGAGAAAAUGCGGCUAGUUGGCGUUGGUUUUUACGACAUCUAAAGGUUUUAGUGACACGUGAUCGAUCUAUUUGUUUAAUUUCAGACCGCUUUCCUGGGUUAAAGGAGAUUGUUGCGGAGGAGUUUCCGAGAAGCGAGGGACAUGCUCACCGUUGGUGCCUCCGCCAUAUGCAGGCUAAUAUGAAAAAAGCCGGUUUUAAAAAUGAAACUGUGCUCAAUAAAUUUUAUACGGGCAUAGGAUGUGCUGCAACUGCAAAGGAAUAUUAUGAGCAUAAGGAUCAGUUGAAAGAAAUGGAUCCAGCGGCAUGGCUUUGGGUGCACGAGCUCCAAGGGGAAAGGGAAUAUUGGGCGAGAGCAUUUGAUGGUGGACGGCGUUUUGGGACAAUGACGACAAAUCGGUCGGAGAGUUUAAAUGGAGUGCUUAAGGGUGUACGUGGUUUACCUAUCACAGCAUUUGUGGCCGCUACAUUUUAUAAGGUAAACAAUUAUUUUGUUAAGCGCCGUGAUAAAGGUGAGACAUACACUACAGUAUUGACACCAAAACAGGAGGCGUUAAUUAGGAGUUAUAUGAUAAUCGCAAGAGGACACCGUGUGGAUCGUUACGGAGUAAACGAGUUUCAAAUUACUACCGGAAAUGGACAAUAUGAGGUGGUUCUUGACGGGAGAACCUCGACUUGUUCAUGCCAUGAGUUUGAGCUCACUAGGUUGCCAUGCUCACAUCUUCUAGCUGUAUGCAGUAAUGGUCAAAUGAACAUUGACUACUAUAGUCUGUGUUCUGAAUGGUAUACAUGUGAGAAUUACCGUCGUGCUUACUUCCCGCAAUUUCACCCUGUCCCAGACAAAAGAAGCUGGCCACGCCCUCAAGGACCACCGCUGGCACCACCACCAAUCAGGAGAAAGAAAGGUCGUCCAAGAUCAACUCGUAUUCGAAAUGCCAUGGACGAGAGAGAAGGAAUGCGAAGAACUAUGUGCACUAUUUGUAAACAACAGGGACAUUAUAGGACUACAUGUCCAAAUAAUCAAGAUAGAACAAAUGAAGGCCGUAGACGUAGAGCUAUAGAUGGACGAUCACGAGGAUCCCGGGCCAGUUGAUCCAUCAGUUCUAUCAGACCAGGAUAGGCAUCGGUCGAGCUACGUGCGAUCAGAGGGGUACGCGCCAGUUCAGUUUACGGAGCAUGGCCGUAAACUGAACACAUGGAUAGUCGAGCAUCCGGGAGUGAUAGAGCACUUACGACAUG